AUGUGAGGAAAUAAAGGCUUGAGAGAUCUUGAGGUGGCAGUUUACAGGAGGGUAAAGGAAACAGGAGUUAGAAUAAACAAUGUUAGUAACAACUUGGAUGCAAGAUUGACCUUAUGCAAUCUCUAAGGUAUAUUGAAUUGAAGGAGGGAGAGAGUUCUAAACUGCUUGUUCUCAGUCUGCUCCAGGUUAAAGCUUACAAAACUGCCUGUUGGGUUCUUUCAUCGUUAUUGUUGCCACUGGAAGGGCUUUUACCACCACUUUUGAACUCUACAGCCUCCUGAAUAUAUCUGUCCAUCUAAGAAAAGGAUUAAAUUCAAGAUAACCCUUGUCAUCUGCAUGCUGCCACAUGGUUAGGAUGAAGACUGACACACGAGACAAGUGAUGGUAAGUUGGAAAUAGCCUGUUAUCCAAGAAACGACAGUUAUUUUCUUAUUUUAUACUCAAAGAAGUGUGAGACUAAACCAAAAUAUUGUCGUCUACACUCACUGACUUUAAUAGGCGAUCCUCCUCGGGGCCUGACCACCCCCAAGCUCUUUCUGUCUUACCCUCUAUUAUUCUUUCAACAAAGCUUGAAAAUGAAUAAGGAACUUUGCUGGCACCUCCCAAGAGAAAAAGAAUUCACCAGUGGCCACUACCAACACCACAUUGUUUAUCAGAACAUAAAGUUCGGUUGAAAUCCCGCAGUGACGUCAUCCCCCAGCACUUACUGAUGAAGCCAGGGACAAUUCCAAGACAUUUUCAAUGCGAUUGGAUACUCUGCGCAGGAAAUGGUCAACCAGCUUGUACUUCAAAGACGUUUCCUCUACUUAGGUUGUGCUUAGCUCUUAAAAGAAGUGGAAAGGAACCUAAAUCACAGACUCAGGCUAAGUUGAUUCUUAAAAAGAUUCCAAGGGAACUUCAUAUGCUGUGGUUAUUUUUCUGUGGGUUGAUAACUUGAUGUAAUUACUGGCAUUUAGGUGACUCUUUUUCUGAAACAUCGUUAGACUCAUGGAGACUUUGCUCUAGGAAUGGAAAAACAUUCAGUAUCAUAUGGGUGACACAAAAAUAGUCCAGAGAGACUGGUCUUUUAGGAGGUGGAGCUGCAAGUGGUUUGAAAAGCAAAUUGCCCACAUUGAUGGGGAGGGUCAUGUAUACCUAGGUGUUGAAAACUAGGAUCAAAGAAAUAACUUCUCAAAAGACUAAGAGAUCAGAAAUUUAGGAUACCUGUAUUUAGAUGGAAAAAGAAGCAUGGAGAGGACUUGACAUGCUAUAUGCCAGCCUAGGUGUUAAAUAUUUAAACUUUUUCUCAUUCUAUAAUCUAUGUGUUCUCUAUUCUAAUUGGAAAUGAUAUGAAGCAGAUAUAGGCACAUUUUCUAUUUAUAGAAAUGCAUUAUGAUCUUGAAUUCUCUUUUGCCAAUGAAAUUUUUGGAUGACACGACAAAUAUUCUUAUAAAAUUAUUAAAGAAAAUGACUAAGCUAAAAUUAGUGAAGGCUCAUGAUCACUUUUUAAAAAAUCUGAAUGUUUCAACAUUAUCUAGGAUAAUUAAGACAAGAAUAUAACCUUUUAGGGUCAGGAGACCUAGGUUUAAGUUUGGUUUUCUUAUUUAUAAAAUAAGGAUAGCAAUAUUUACUUUAAAGAUUUCUUGUGAAGGCUAAAUGAGCUAAUUUUAAAGAGUUCUCUAAACAGUAGUGGUAGUAAUGAUAAUAAUAAUAAAAACAACAGAUGAGGCAGAGUUUCUUCAGUGCUUACAAUGUGAGGGGCACUGUUCUGUCCUGUAUUAACUCCUUUAAUUUUCGCAACUCCUUCGUGGAUCAGAUACUAUCCUAACAACCCUUUAACAUAUAAAGUCAGUCAUAGAAAGGUUAAAUAAUUUGCUCAAAGUCAUUUGGUUAGUAAAUGGCAGGAUCAGAAUUUAAACUCUCUUCUAUUUUGUGCUGCUUCUGCCCACGCAGUUCAUAUUGAAACACUAGGAAAAAGAAAAUAUAGUAUGCUUUGCCUAAAGACCACCUAUGUAAUAAAUAUGACACAAGUAAUCUAAUGAGGCUUAUGUAGUCACAGUAGGGAUGUACUACUGUCAUGUUGAGAGAAAAUCUAUAUGUGGUUGUAGGGACUAAUAGAGCAAUUCACAGUGAGGACAUGAUUAAGUGUAGAAAUUUUUCGUAACAUUUUAUUGGGUGGCAGUAUCUUCAAUAUUUCUUUUUUCUUAGCAAAGUUCUUCAAGAAGUCAUAAUAAGCCACAGAGUUACAUUGGUAACAUCUGGAAGACUGGUUCCCUAGGUAAGCCUCCUAAAAGGCCUCUUGUUAGGUCAAAAUGAAUAAAGGGUUCAUUAUCUGCUGCCCUUAUUUUUCCAUUGAAACUGAAAACUUUCAAAAAAGGAGGCGUUCGGUAGCACAAGUGGAAAGAUUGGCUUGGAUUGUUCUCUCUGCCUAUUAUAGCCAGAGGAGUUCUUUUGUUUUGAGAAGACAUUUAUGAUUCUUUCCACAAGCUGAACACACAUUUACCCGGGAGAAUAACUCCCAUACUCAGUUGAACCGAAAAAGUGAUAUAAUAAUACUUUGAUACUUUCAUAUUUCCCUUUAUUAGGAAUAAUAAUUUGGGGAGUUUUUAAAAUGAAUACAUAAGGCAGUUAGCUUUAAAAAUUUCCCAUAAUACCGCAGAGGAAAUAAACACAACACAAAACAAUUCCCAUGUGAAAACAUACUAGCCAACUUAUAGUGAUAAUCUGAUCGGAAACACUUUGUUCAUUAUAAAAUGUUAGAUACUAUAUUUCAAACAUGAGAGAAAUCUGAUAGUAAUCCCUGUCCACGCAUAAAUGGAAUGCCUUAAAAUGCCAUAAGAUAUUGUAUUUCCACCUUAAACACCUGUGUGGCAUAAGUCAUCCACAGGAGCUAUCUUUUAUAAUAAAAAAGUAAACUUGCUUUAAAUAAAAUUGAAAUUCC